rnacentral:misc_RNA from 1 species
AAGCAACACCAAAAAUCGAAAAUGAAGAAGCUUAUCUUCCUAAUUUUCAACAUAAUUAUGCUUUCCAUCGGCAAUUGCGGUGGCCCUUUAAUCUCUCGACUCUAUUUCAUUCAUGGCGGCCAACGAAUUUGGAUACCCAGCGUAUUACAAACUGUUGGUUGUCCAGUUAUUCUCAUCCCUUUAGCCAUUGCCUAUUUUCAACGCCGUAAAAUUCAAGGACCCGAGGCUAAAAUCGUCUUUAUCACACGGCAAGAGUUCAUCGCAUCUGCCGGAGUCGGUAUCAUCGUCGGACUCGAUGGUUACUUAAACUCAUGGGGACCCGCGAAAUUACCCGUUUCAACUUCGACUCUAAUCAACGCGACUCAGCUUGCGUUCACUGCGCUUUUUGCUGUGCUUAUAGUCAAACAGAAAUUGACUGCGUAUUCGACGAAUUCAGUCGUUUUGCUUAUCGCCGGAGCUGCGACUUUAGCCCUCCGAGCGAACGGUGACCGCCCG